rnacentral:rRNA from 2 species
AUUGAUUGGUGGUUGAUCAUGAUUUACAUUUGAGUGAGUGGCGAACUGGUGAGUAACACGUGGGAAACCUGCCCAGAAGCGGGGGAUAACACCUGGAAACAGAUGCUAAUACCGCAUAACAACUUGGACCGCAUGGUCCGAGUUUGAAAGAUGGCUUCGGCUAUCACUUUUGGAUGGUCCCGCGGCGUAUUAGCUAGAUGGUGGGGUAACGGCUCACCAUGGCAAUGAUACGUAGCCGACCUGAGAGGGUAAUCGGCCACAUUGGGACUGAGACACGGCCCAAACUCCUACGGGAGGCAGCAGUAGGGAAUCUUCCACAAUGGACGAAAGUCUGAUGGAGCAACGCCGCGUGAGUGAAGAAGGGUUUCGGCUCGUAAAACUCUGUUGUUAAAGAAGAACAUAUCUGAGAGUAACUGUUCAGGUAUUGACGGUAUUUAACCAGAAAGCCACGGCUAACUACGUGCCAGCAGCCGCGGUAAUACGUAGGUGGCAAGCGUUGUCCGGAUUUAUUGGGCGUAAAGCGAGCGCAGGCGGUUUUUUAAGUCUGAUGUGAAAGCCUUCGGCUCAACCGAAGAAGUGCAUCGGAAACUGGGAAACUUGAGUGCAGAAGAGGACAGUGGAACUCCAUGUGUAGCGGUGAAAUGCGUAGAUAUAUGGAAGAACACCAGUGGCGAAGGCGGCUGUCUGGUCUGUAACUGACGCUGAGGCUCGAAAGUAUGGGUAGCAAACAGGAUUAGAUACCCUGGUAGU